UUAAAUUUUCUCUGAACUCUAGUCUAUAUUCUCUGAAUAUAUUUAAGUUUUAAAAUAAGAAAAUAAGGUUUAAUAUGCUGAUUUAUUUCUCAAGUAAAUGUAUUUUGUUUUAACGAUUUUUAAAAAUAUUUUACUGAAAAACACGCCAAAAAAAUGCUGAUUAUGAUUCUUUUUUUUUUUUCUUCCUCCAGUGCAGGGAGGUGUGUGGCUGCUCUGCAUACUUCAUUCAAAAGAGGCCCGUCUCUGUGCAAGCAGAUAUCCUGCCAUAGUUGGCCCUAGAGCUUAUGUUGGGCUCAGUGAGGCAAUGAAGCCUGUAGCCAGUCACUGAAGGAAGGCCUGCUUCUCCAUCAGCUUGCGGAAGAGCCCCUGGUCGUCGGCAAGGAGCUUGGCGUGGCUGCCGAUCUCCAUCACACGGUGCUGGUCCAGCACAGCCACGGCAUCUGCGUUCUGGAUGGUGGAGAGACGUUCUCACCUGAAUCAGGAUCAUAGAGCCGGAGCAACAGUGACACCAGUGUGGAUUUGCCUGAACCACUGGAUCCCACUACUGCCAUUACUGACCCCGCCGGCACAGACAGACUUAGAUCCUGGAAGAUGGGGGAAUCCUUUCUUGUUGGUGUCACAAGAUCCUUCAGAAAUCAGUCACAGCACAGUGCAGCAGGAGUCAGAUUCCACUUUAUUAUUAAAAAAAAUAAAUAAAUAAAAAUGAUGUGAAUAUGAGAUUAGAUGAUGGCGGAGGAUUUCCAAGCGAAAUGUAAAAGACUGCUUCUUAAACCAGAGAAGAUGAACAUGUGCAAGCACUGGCACCUACAGCCAAUUGAGUUUUAACUUUGAAAACCCUGUUGACUUUUGCUGUUUACCUGAUGUUAUGCUACAUUGUGUUAGACUUUUUAUUUGUUUUUAUUUAUUUAGUUCUACGGUGUUUGCUAAUUUAAAACUUUGUGUAAUUUAAUCGUUAUAUAAUAAAGCGUGUGGUGUAUGCUAUACCUCGCCUUUAUUUUCUCAAUAAACGUUACAUAAGCUAGUUUGUCAUUGUUCUGUUUGUGUCUUAGAAAGUGGAAGAUGUAAAGAUGUAAGUGCAACAGACAAUGACCUUUUCAUGUUAAUUGUGACACUAAGAUUGCAAAUUCGAAGGUGAAGGUGAAAGUGAAAGCGUCCAAAGCCUGGAAUUACCAGUAAUACUGGUUUUGUCAUUUAUUGAAGUUUACAUAAAAAUAUGAAAAUUACAUCCCUAAUACUGACAACAUUGUGCUGCAUAAUAUUUUUGUGGAAACUGCGAAACAUUUUUUUCAGGAUUCUUCGAUAAAUAGAAAGUUUAUAAAACAACUCUUGUUUGAAAGUUUUUUUUCUUUUGUAACCGUAUAAAUGUUUACUAUAAUUUUUGAUCAAUUUUAUGUGU